GUAGCGGCGAGCGAAACGGGAAAAGCCCAAACCAACAAGCUUGCUUGUUGGGGUUGUAGGACUCCAAUAUGGUAGUUUUUUCAGAUAAUCGAAUGACUUGGAAAAGUCAGUCAAAGAGGGUAAAAACCCCGUAGAUGAAGUUUGGAAGACACCUAGGAGGAUCCUGAGUACGGCGGAACACGAGGAAUUCCGUCGGAAUCCGGGAGGACCAUCUCCCAAGGCUAAAUACUCCCUAGUGACCGAUAGUGAACCAGUACCGUGAGGGAAAGGUGAAAAGCACCCCGGAAGGGGAGUGAAAUAAAACCUGAAACCGUGUGCCUACAACAAGUCAAAGCCCGUUAAUGGGUGAUGGCGUGCCUUUUGUAGAAUGAACCGGCGAGUUACGAUUGCAUGCGAGGUUAAGUCGAAGAGACGGAGCCGUAGCGAAAGCGAGUCUGAAUAGGGCGUUUGAGUAUGUAGUCGUAGACCCGAAACCAUGUGAUCUACCCAUGUCCAGGUUGAAGGUGCGGUAAAACGCACUGGAGGACCGAACCCACGUACGUUGAAAAGUGCGGGGAUGAGGUGUGGGUAGCGGAGAAAUUCCAAACGAACUUGGAGAUAGC
rnacentral:rRNA from 1 species